AACGAACGCUGGCGGCAUGCCUAACACAUGCAAGUCGAACGGAGGCUUCGGCCUUAGUGGCGCACGGGUGAGUAACGCGUGGGAAACUGCCUAUUGGUGGGGAAUAACGACGGGAAACUGUCGCUAAAACCGCAUAAGCCCUUCGGGGGAACGAUUUAUCGCCGAUAGAUGUGCCCGCGUCCGAUUAGCUAGUUGGUGAGGUAAUGGCUCACCAAGGCGACGAUCGGUAGCUGGUCUGAGAGGAUGAUCAGCCACACUGGGACUGAGACACGGCCCAGACUCCUACGGGAGGCAGCAGUGGGGAAUAUUGGACAAUGGGCGAAAGCCUGAUCCAGCAAUGCCGCGUGAGUGAUGGAGGCCUUAGGGUUGUAAAGCUCUUUCGGGUGGGACGAUGAUGACGGUACCACCAGAAGAAGCCCCGGCUAACUUCGUGCCAGCCGCCGCCGUAA
rnacentral:rRNA from 1 species